GCCGAUGUAGCUCAACGGUAGAGCAACGGUUUUGUAAACCGUAGGUUGUAGGUUCGAUUCCUAUCAUCGGCAUCA
rnacentral:tRNA from 3 species